rnacentral:rRNA from 1 species
UGCAGUCGACGAGGAGCCUUGGUGUAGCAUACAUCGGAGCUUCUAUUCGCGAACGGGUGAGUAACACGUGGGGAACCUGUCCUCCAGUCGGGGAUACCCGUUCGCCCGGGCGGCUAAUACCGGAUGCGUUCUCGAGGUCGCAAGAUCUUGAGAGGAAAGGUGGCGAAAGCUACCGCUGGUGGAGGGCCUCGCGGCCUAUCAGCUAGUUGGUGAGGUAACGGCUCACCAAGGCUAUGACGGGUAGCUGGUCUGAGAGGACGACCAGCCACACGGGGACUGAGACACGGCCCCGACUCCUACGGGAGGCAGCAGUGGG